GGGCGAGUAGUUCAGCCGGCGAGAACGCUGGUCUCACAUACCAGAGGUCGCAGGUUCAAGUCCUGCCUCGCCCA
rnacentral:tRNA from 1 species